CAAUGGAUGUGGAAUUAAUCCACUUGAUAUCCACACAGGGACUUGCACUGAAACAGUUGUCCCAAUAAUAAAGCCAAAGUUCACUAUAUCAAAGUAAAAAGGAUGAAAGCAAGAAAAAGAGAGGGCAGAUGCAAUUGUUAAGAUGCUAGCUUGACAAAAGUUUGAGCACAAAAAGUCAAGAAUUUUGGGCAAAUUCAAAAGUCUGAAGAUCGCAAGGCAACUGUAUGAAUAUUAUCAUUAUCAAAUCCUUGUGAAGAUCUUUCUCUCUUCGUAGAUAAUGUAGUUUGACAGUUUAUAGUUCUCUUUUGCUGACAUUUAUUUUUUUUCAUGUAACGACUUGUAUUCAGCCACUAGAAAUAAAGACAUCCCACCAUCCUUGUUAGCCAACUGAGUAGGGCCUUGGAAUAUUAAAUAGAGAAAUCCUCAAUAAGGUUCGUUCAAAUAUACAUUUUAAUUUCACAACAGGUUCUAACUUCCAUUAGUGGAACUGGGAAGAUCUUAAAAAGUAGAUGGUGAGUGAGAUUCAACUUGGAGCUGCCUUCAAGAGCGAGAGAGAGAGAAAGCUUCUUCUCAUCAUACUGGUGUCAACUAAAAAGCUUUUCAGUUCUUUUUUCUUUUCUCACCAAACAACUAAAAGCUAUGUUGCAUCAACUUAAGAUACGGUUUCAGUGCUUUCCAUGUGGGACAAUUUUCAGUAAUUUUUUUAUACAGUUGUGUUUAAAAAAAGGAUUCUGAAUUGUUCAAAAAGUUACUAUGCAACUAUUCUUGCUAUCCAUGAUUUGUGUCUUUCUGUCAUUUCUGUGGACAACAAUUAUUCUAAAAUUAAGGACUAUUCUACACACAAAAAAAAGAAAAAAAAACUUUUGAAAUACAUUUUCAUGGUAUUUUUAAAUAAGUUAUUACAAAAGGCAGAGAACAGAUUUAUGACACUAUACCUGAAGAGUACCCAUCUGCUUGUACAAAAAAAUUAACCUACAUAGGUUUAACCUUUAAAAUCCCCCAUUUCAACCCACGGACUGCCUAAUGAGGUAGGAGAUCUAAUUUACUCGACUCUGACAAUAAAGUUCUAAGUCUAACUUCCUUCCGCGCAUGUAGACCAAAGAAACUUUUGCUGAUCUGAUCUAAUAUCUGGACACUUUCAAAAGUUUCAAUUCAUUAGCAACAGGCCAUUUGUUCAAGAACAAUCGACGCUUUCUUGUAGACAAAUACAAGGGAAACAAACAAAAUCCCCUGGCCAUAUCAAAUACAAAAAACUAGAGGUUAACUUUGUAGGCAUGCAAGAUCAGAUAACUUUGAUUAUAGUUUAUCUGAACUAAAAUGGUAGAGCAUAUCCUCAUCAUUCCCCACCGCUGUUUCAUACUAAAUAUAUGAUAUAUCCAAUUGAAAAUAACCACUACUUAGAAGAUGCCAAAAUUACAUCCAUCGCAUCUGUACCAGUCGACCGUGACAUAAUAGCAAGUUCAAAUUAGCUCGGCUUCGUAGAUACAUAUCACUUAUUAAUACUUUAAAGCAGACUAAUCAAUUAGGAUCAAAUAACAUCUUCAUUUUCUUGCUAAGCUGGCAAAAGUUUCCACUAUAUGCACAGCGUCGGAUUUAAUAAGCCAUCCUUGCAGCAGAGCAAAGUAUUGUGAAAAAACUAAUAAUAAAUAAUCUGGACUGGAUCAUCUUUGAUAAAUACACACACAUAUAUAUGGGGAAAGUUAAAAAGUGCUUAUGUUCCAUGAAAUUGAAGAUUUAUAAUUUGGCUCGAUAAAAAGUAAGCACUGAUUUAAGUUUCCACUUACAGUUACACUAUUAGAUGUUGCCCAGGCCAUGAAGUUGAAGGGUGCAUUCUCUCCUUCUACCACAAUACCAGCAGAUAGCUCACACAAGGUCGUCCUCGCAAUACCUGCCCAGCAGAGAAGCAU